UACGAAGGGAGCUAGCGUUGUUCGGAAUCACUGGGCGUAAAGCGCACGUAGGCGGAUGUGUCAGUCAGGGGUGAAAUCCCGGAGCUCAACUUCGGAACUGCCUUUGAUACAGCACGUCUUGAGUCCGAUAGAGGUGGGUGGAAUUCCUAGUGUAGAGGUGAAAUUCGUAGAUAUUGGGAAGAACACCGGUGGCGAAGGCGGCGCUCUGGACCGAGACUGACGCUGAGGCGCGAAAGCGUGGGGAGCAAACAGG
rnacentral:rRNA from 1 species